GACGAACGCUGGCGGCGUGCUUAACACAUGCAAGUCGAGCGGUAAGGCCUCUUCGGGGGUACACGAGCGGCGAACGGGUGAGUAACACGUGAGUAAUCUGCCCUUCACUUCGGGAUAACUGCCGGAAACGGUGGCUAAUACCGGAUACGACACAGUUUCGCAUGAUGUCUGUGUGGAAAGUUCUUUCGGUGGGGGAUGUGCUCGCGGCCUAUCAGCUUGUUGGUGAGGUAAUGGCUCACAAAGGCUUCGACGGGUAGCCGGCCUGAGAGGGUGACCGGCCACACUGGGACUGAGACACGGCCCAGACUCCUACGGGAGGCAGCAGUGGGGAAUAUUGGACAAUGGGCGAAAGCCUGAUCCAGCAACGCCGCGUGAGGGAUGACGGCCUCCGGGUUGUAAACCUCUUUCAGUACCGACGAAGCGCCGAUGAAGGUGGUGACGGUAGGUACAGAAGAAGGACCGGCCAACUACGUGCCAGCAGCCGCAGUAACAC
rnacentral:rRNA from 1 species